CUAAUGGAGCUGCUGAAUGUGCCAACCAGUCUCUGGAGCAAUACCUUCGUUGUUUUGUGUCUCACCAUCAGGACAAUUGGUCUGACCUACUUCCUUGGGCUGAGUUUGCUCGGAAUAACGCCACUCAUGAUUCUUCCGGCAAAAGCCCUUUUUACGUUGUCUAUGGCCAGCAUCCCGUUGUUCUUCCGGCUGCAUUCUCCUCACAGGGCAUGCCAGUUCUGGAUG